rnacentral:tRNA from 1 species
GCGACGUCCGGCUGGGCGAAGACAGCGAGGCCUACGAGGUCGCGGUGCUGGCGGAUGGACAGGUCGUGCGGACGUUCGAGGCGUCGGCGCCGCA